GGAGGGGUGGCCGAGAGGCUGAAGGCGGCGGUUUGCUAAAUCGUUAUACGUCGAAAGGCGUAUCGUGGGUUCGAAUCCCAUCCCCUCCGCCA
rnacentral:tRNA from 1 species